rnacentral:rRNA from 1 species
UACGUAGGGCGCAAGCGUUGUCCGGAAUUAUUGGGCGUAAAGAGCUCGUAGGUGGCUUGUCGCGUCUGCCGUGAAAGCCCGUGGCUUAACUACGGGUCUGCGGUGGAUACGGGCAGGCUAGAGGGUGGUAGGGGCAAGCGGAAUUCCUGGUGUAGCGGUGAAAUGCGCAGAUAUCGGGAAGAACACCCGUGGCGAAGGCGGCUCUCUGGGACGGUACUGACGCUGAGACGCGAAAGCGUGGGGAGCGAACAGG